AGUAAACAUUACUGCUUUUCAAAACAUUUAUAACCGAACUCCGCUCAGAAUCGUUUUAAUGAUUAAUCGUUGCGUACAGUGAUAUAAGUUAAAUUUCUCCUUUCCAACUUUUCAUUUACUACAGUGGCCCAUCAAUCGUGAAAAGUGUGUCUGUAUGUUUUUUGAUAUCUUAUCUACUUGUCGCGUGAACCUGCACAGUUCAAAUUUCCGAAAGAUAUCGUUGACCAUGCUACAUAUAUAGUUAAAGUUGUUGAUUUUUAAAAAUAUCCGAUUUUUAGAACUAGACAAAAGCACGAUUGUCUUACUUAUCAAUUGUUAACAACUCGACCGAAUAAUAUGUUCUUAAAAAAAAAAAAAAAAAAAAAAAAAAAAUGACUAUAGUUUAGUCAUAAUAUAAUACUAAUUGAAUGAAUUUAUAUUUUAAGUUAGAGUGGUGUACCUUUUUUGAGAUCGAUUUUCCAAAAUUUCGAAAAUAUUACUUUUGGUUUUCUUGGGUUUUAAAUUGUUUUAAGUACCGAUCCCUGGUUAUAACAUUAUAAUUAAAGUCAUAGCUAUAGUGGGUAGCAAGACCAUCUCGAGUCAUUAACACAUCUAAAAAAAGGGAAGCAAAAUCCGAAAUGUAUACAUAGGAUAUUAAUGGAAAUGAAUAGUGGUAGGCUUUAUACGAGCAGACAUUUUCAUGUGGCCUAAAGAGGCAUCGAAAAACUUUAUUAUAGUUCUUGAU